UUCGUGUAAUUUGUAGUUCUGAUCCUAAACAUAAACAACGUCAAGGUUAACUAUAAAAAUUAUUAGGAGUACAUAGUGGCCCGUAUAGCCGGUAUUAAUAUCCCUGAU
rfam:Baumannia cicadellinicola str. Hc (Homalodisca coagulata), complete genome.